GACGUGCGUGUGUGUGGAGAGUGGCUGUGAAAGUGACACAGGCUCUGGGAAGAGAAGUAAGGAGGACUGCUGGGAAGGUUUCCAGGCUCUCGGAUGAGCAGGGGCUGUGAUAUGAAAGUGAUCAAGAGAUGGGACCAUCUAGUUGCAAGAGAACAAGCUCAGGGCUCCCACUGAUUCUACAUGAUGUAUUUGUCUUCACUUUCAAAGAGUGUAAAGUGAAAGAAAGGAGGAAGUCCACACCCUUGGGUUUGGGGGCAUUGGAUCCAGUGUGCAAUGUGAGAAGUAAAAUGAAGAGGAGAAAUGAUCUGGAGAGACUUUCUGAUGAAGCAAACACCAG